AUCACGAUUACAUCUUCGCCGUAGUGAUGGACGAACUCGUGUGUGGAGAUGAAGAGGAUAACUCUAUGCCGAUUCAUGCAUCCAAGAUACAGAUCGUUUUGGUUGGUGGUAAUGUCAUGGUAUGGAGAGACAUAUCGUUCAACCAUAAAACUCCACUUAUCACUAACAAUGGCAAUUUAAACGCCCAACGCUACAGUGAUGAAGUUUUACGGUCAACCGUUAUACUGUUUAUGGCUAGGCAUCAACAUGUUAAUCUUUUUAACAAGAUAACGCUCGUGCACACUCUGCAUGACUCACAACUGCGUUCAUCAAUAACAACCAUGUUCAGACAUUACCAUGGUCAGCAUUUGGCCGGAUUUAAGUCCUAUUAAACACUUCUGGGCUCAAAUUGGACUAUUCGUAAGACAACAACAGCAAUAAUCAUUAACGCUACGCCAACUUCAAAUUGCAUUGCGGGAAGAAUAGACAAACCUUCCACAACACCGUAUCCGACGUCUGGUCAGGUUAAUGCAAUGCCGUUGUAGAGAUUACGUUGCAGUACGCGGUGAACACAUUCGUUAUUGAGACUGUUAGUAAAUGAAUUAAAGCGUUGCAUUCAAACUGUGGUAAUUGGUUUGACAUUGAUCUUUAGAUAAACCCAUUAACUGCCAUUUAAAAU
rnacentral:lncRNA from 1 species